GACGAACGCUGGCGGCGUGCUUAACACAUGCAAGUCGAACGAUAAGACCGGACCUUUCUCCUCUGCUCUAGUGGCGAACGGGUGAGUAACACGUGAGUAAUCUGCCCCUGACUUCGGAAUAACUUCGGGAAACUGUAGCUAAUACCGGAUAUGCGCUGCACCGGCAUCUGUAUCGUUGGAAAGGUUCUGCGGUUGGGGAUGAGCUCGCGGCUUAUCAGCUUGUUGGUGGGGUAACGGCUCACCAAGGCUACGACGGGUAGCCGGCCUGAGAGGGUGACCGGCCACAUUGGGACUGAGACACGGCCCAGACUCCUACGGGAGGCAGCAGUGGGGAAUAUUGCACAAUGGGCGGAAGCCUGAUGCAGCAACGCCGCGUGCGGGAUGACGGCCUUCGGGUUGUAAACCUCUUUUGGCAGUGAAGAAGCGAGAGUGACGGUAAUGGGAGAAGAAGCGCCGGCUAACUACGUG
rnacentral:rRNA from 1 species